rnacentral:piRNA from 1 species
UGAAAUUCCAGGUGAGGGUUCUAUGAC